UACGUAGGGUGCGAGCGUUGCCCGGAUUUAUUGGGCGUAAAGGGCGCGCAGGCGGCCGAGCACGUCCGUUGUGAAAUCGCCUGGCUCAACUGGGCGUGGUCAGCGGAUACGGCUAGGCUGGAGCAAGCUAGGGGGCAAUGGAAUUCCCGGUGUAGUGGUGGAAUGCGUAGAUACCUGGAGGAACACCGGUGGCGAAGGCGGUUCUCUGGGCCUUACCUGACGCUGAGGAGCGAAAGCGUGGGGAGCGAACAGG
rnacentral:rRNA from 1 species